rnacentral:rRNA from 1 species
AUGGGCAUGGGACUGACAGGAGCACCUGGCACAUUUCAAGGGCAAAUGAAUUUUGAUCUUUCUCCUGUUUUGAGGAAGUUUGCUUUGGUUUUUUUUGAUGAUAUUCUGAUAUUCAGUAAGACCUUGGAAGAGCAUUGGGGACAUUUGGAUGAGGUGCUGUCUAUUUUGCAUAAGGAACAGUGGAAGGUUAAAAUGUCUAAAUGUGAUUUUGCUCAGCCCAAGAUAGCAUAUUUGGGGCAUGUUAUUUCUGCUGAAGGGGUUUCUACUGACCCUGAUAAGAUAGUGGCUGUUAAGCAAUGGCCUACCCCACAGAAUGUGAAGGAAGUGAGGGGUUUCCUUGGGUUGAGUGGUUACUAUAGAAAAUUUAUUAAACAUUAUGGAAUUAUUGCAAGGCCUUUGACUGAUCUGCUUAAGAAUGGGGUUCCUUUUGUAUGGACCAGUAUUGCAGAGGAAGCUUUUAUUACACUUAAGAAUGCCUUAGUGUCUGCUCCUGUACUGGCCUUACCAGAUUUUAGUAAGCCAUUCAUGAUUGAGACUGAUGCUUGUGACUAUGGUAUUGGUGCAGUGUUGAUGCAACAAGGACACCCACUAGCAUUUGUCAGUAAAACUCUGGGACCUAAAAAUAGAGCUCUGUCAGUAUAUGAAAAAGAGUAUUUGGCUAUCUUGUUGGCAGUGGAUAAAUGGAGGCCUUAUUUGCAAGUUCAGCAGUUCACUAUUAAAACUGAUCAGAGAAGUUUGGCUCAUCUGCAAGAUCAGAGAUUGCAUACAGUUUGGCAACAGAAGUGUCUUACUAAACUCCUUGGAUUGCAUUAUCGAAUUCAGUACAAACAAGGUGUAGCAAAUAGUGCAGCUGAUGCUUUAUCUAGAAGACCUCCUGAUGAUUCUCAGUUGUUUGCCAUUUCCAGUAACCAACCCACUUGGUUAGUUGAGAUUGUUGACAGUUAUAAACAUGAUGAGAGAGCCAUGGCAAUUAUGCAACAGUUGGCUGUGCAACCAGCUUCUAAACCACCUUACAGUCUGGUUAAUGGUCUUCUGAGGUAUAAGCAGAGUAUUUGGGUUGGCCCUGUUCCUGAAUUACAUCACAAAAUUUUCUCUGCUUUUCAUGAUAGUCCCUUGGGAGGUCAUUCAGGGUUUCCAGUGACAUACAAGAGGAUUCAUGCUCUGUUUACUUGGAAUGGAAUGAAGAAGUUUAUUUUACAACAGGUGCAAUCUUGUUUGAUAUGUCAGAAAGCUAAACCUGAAAGAGUACCUUAUCCUGGGUUGUUAUCUCCUUUGCCAAUUCCACAUCAAACAUGGGAUACUGUCUCUAUGGAUUUCAUUAAUGGUCUUUCCCAAUCGUCUCAGUACAACUGCAUUUUAGUGGUGAUUGACAAGUUUUCUAAAUAUGGUCAUUUUAUUCCACUCAAACGCCCUUUCAAUGCUCAAAAGGUGGCUGAAGUAUUCUUGGAUAAUGUGUAUAAAUUACAUGGUAUGCCUAGUGUGAUCAUAUCUGAUAGAGAUCCACUGUUUACUAGUCAUUUUUGGAAACUGUUGGUUGCAAGAACAGGAACUCAAUUGAAUAUGAGUACAGCAAAUCAUCCUGAAACAGAUGGGCAGACUGAGAGAGUGAAUCAGCAAGUGGAGUGUUAUUUAAGAUGCUUUAUUAGUGCUCAACCUCACAAAUGGAGUAAGUGGUUGCCCUUGUGUGAAUUCUGGUACAACUCCAAUUGGCAUUCUGCAUUAGGGAAGUCUCCUUUUGAAAUCUUGUAUGGUUAUACUCCUAGAUAUUUUGGUAUCUCUGCAACUGACAUAGUGGCUCCAUUGGAAAUGCAAGACUGGUUGCAAUCUCGGCAAGCAGUUACAGAAACAGCUCGACAACACUUGUUGAGAGCACAACAGCGCAUGAAACAUCAGGCUGACAAGAAGAGAACUGAACGAGUUUUUGCAAUUGGGGAUAGUGUUUUUCUCAAGUUGCAACCUUAUGCUCAGUUAUCAUUGUAUUCCAUAGCAAAUCAGAAACUGGCCUUCAAGUAUUAUGGACCCUUUCCAGUUCUGGAGCGCAUUGGGGAUCGAGCUUAUCGAUUAGGUCUUCCUGAUGACAGUAGGCUACACCCUGUUUUUCAUGUUUCUCAGCUCAAGAAGUUUUUGCCUCGUGAGAUCAUUCCCAGUCGGACAUUGCCUACAGUCAGGGCAGCUAUACAAGUUCCUCUCAGUAUACUGCAGAAGCGAGUGCGCUCUCAAGGUAACAAGACUAUUGCCCAGGGUUUGGUUCAUUGGUCUGAGUCUUCUCCUGCAGAUGCUACUUGGGAGGAUUUGGAGCAUUUGAAGCAGCAGUUUCCCCGUGCUCCGGCUUGGGGUCAAGCCGGCUCUCAAGGAGGGAGGAAUGUCAGCACACCGGAGGUUGCUUCAGAUAGCCAGGCGGCAGCGACAACGGGCGAAGGCCCUGUUCCUCAUCCGACAAGCAGCGACGAGGCGGGAAGGUUCAAGGGCCCUCGUGGGCCUGCGGCGCGGCCCACUCGGGUCAAGUCGAAGCCCAGGUGGCACGCCGGCCCGGAUUGGAUGUAG